UACGGAGGAUCCAAGCGUUAUCCGGAUUUAUUGGGCGUAAAGAGCUCGUAGGCGGUCUGUCGCGUCUGCUGUGAAAACUCAGGGCUUAACCCUGAGCUUGCAGUGGGUACGGGCAGACUAGAGUGCGGUAGGGGAGACUGGAAUUCCUGGUGUAGCGGUGAAAUGCGCAGAUAUCAGGAGGAACACCGAUGGCGAAGGCAGGUCUCUGGGCCACUACUGACGCUGAGAAGCGAAAGCAUGGGGAGCGAACAGG
rnacentral:rRNA from 1 species